UACGAAGGGUGCAAGCGUUACUCGGAAUUACUGGGCGUAAAGCGUGUGUAGGUGGUUUUUUAAGUCCGUUGUGAAAGCCCUGGGCUCAACCUGGGAAUGGCAGUGGAUACUGGAAAGCUAGAGUGCGGUAGAGGGUAGUGGAAUUCCCGGUGUAGCAGUGAAAUGCGUAGAGAUCGGGAGGAACACCAGUGGCGAAGGCGGCUACCUGGACCAGCACUGACACUGAGGCACGAAAGCGUGGGGAGCAAACAGG
rnacentral:rRNA from 1 species